rnacentral:lncRNA from 1 species
UCACAUUUGUAACCUGGUUAGUCGGUUUCGGUUUAGCACUGUGACCUUAUCGAUCGAUUCAUUGACUCCGUCGUUUGAUGACCUAUGAGGUCGUGUACCCUGAGGGUAGGAUUGUCGGCUGGUGCUGGACUGGUAGCUCUGACCGUAUAUCGAUACACUCUUGUGAUCCUAUCGGUCGGUUCUUGCGUUCGUACAUUUAGUUGACAUCGAGCAGUAUUUACAUACUAUCUUUAUUUACUCUGCCUGGUUGUUCUAUGUGUAGUAUCCUGUAUAGGGUAGAGGUAGAUGGCAUUCAUGUUUAUAUACUUGUGACCUGGUUGGUCGGUUCUCCUGUUUGCAUCUGUGAUCUGUUUGGUCGUUCGUUACUUUCCGUACAUUGACCUAUCUCGGUCGGUUCACGUUAUUACUUGAUGACCUACACGCGUCGGUAUGUCCCAGAGGGCAGUGAUUGUCGGCGGUGCGCCGACGGUUGGCUAUUGAUCAUAAUCCGCAUUGAUCGCCACAGCUCGAGUGCAUUUCACGUACACCAGCGGGUUGAUCCCCGCAGUGAGGUGUUCUUUUCGGAAAAGUGGUCGUACAUCCGACCCGUGAGCCAGCGGUGUUCUCUUUGUUGCUAGGGUUACAUGCCAGGUGCGAGCAGGUAGUGGCUUUGCCUGAGGUCCUUAGACCGACACGCGGUUUAGAUUGGUACUUUGGCUACUUGUCCGUUGACGCAUAUAACUAUAGUAGCAGUGGUCACUGUAUAUCUUCAGUUCUUUCGUUACAUUGUCUUGCUACUAUAGUCUUGUUACAUGUAUACAUUCAGUUGUUCAUUACAGUAGCGGUAGUUGUACUUUCUUUCAUUUAUAUGUCUCUUUCAUUCAUUAUUAUUGCUACUGUAUUUUCUACUGACCCGUACUGUUGUUUAGCUCUUCCUGAAUCGUGAUACUAGUACUCCUCGCCUUCUUCGGCUUGCGGUACCCACUGGGAGGGGAGACAUGUUUACAUGUUCUCACCUCCCCCACUAUUUUUCAGGUAUCGCAGGCGAUGUGUAUUGGGACGAGACGUGAGGUACGUUCGUAUUGGUCGAUAGAGCUUCCGACCCAGGUUGUUCGGAUUAGUUUCUUACCCUUCUUAUUUCGGUCGAUGUAUAGUUUAGUUGGUUUAUGUGGUUCAGUAUUUAUUUACAUUUGAAAAUGUGGAUUUCUGGAUUUUGUAAAAUAAAAGGUUUUCUACCCCUCGUGGUAGCGUUUUUAACGAAUAAAGGUUUCCGUGUAGGAAACAGUUUUCAAAAGGACUUUUCGUGGAUUUCUGUUUAAACAUUGAAUAUAAAACUGUGAUGUGAAUGGUGAACGUAUGAAUGUAUAGUUAUCUUUAUAUUCAUCUAGUCGUGGUUGUAUCCUGGUUGUACUCUUGUACUUGUGCAACGCCGUGCAAAUACUGGGGAGACUCUGUCCGGGUGAACAGUGGAUCUCCUGUAUUUGUGGCGGAUCUGGCAUACUCUGGGGCCAAGUUUUUUUAAAAAAAAAAAGAUUUCAGAUGCUUUGGCGCUAUCUUUUAAACUGAAAGGGACCCCGGGGCGUGACACAUUAAAAUGGUAUCAGAGCAAAAGUUACAACCACAACACCAUUCACAGGUUGUUUUGAAAAGUAAAUGAAACUGAGCCAUUGGUUAGGUUGACCUAUAGGAAGACCUACGGUAUAUAGGCACGUGAGUGCGGGGUUUGGGCUUGUGUCCCGGUGUGUAUUCGAGUUUGGUAAACUCGAGGUGCAGGGUUACUUCUAUUCGUACUUCGGUUUUCGCACAAGCUAGUGUCUAAGUCGGGAGUAGUGGAGGUGUACUUUUUCGGACAUCGAGUGGUAGGGCGACGUUCCCCCAGGUGGUGCCACUCCUGUCAGCUGGGGGCCCUGAAGGGCCAGGUGAGAUUUUCGGGCAUAGGCAAGUAUUUUACUGCCGAUGCCCGGGCCACUCUUCCUACUUAGGACACGAGUGCGACUGCGAGUGUCUCUACGGAGAUGGCAUUGAGACCUGUUAAGGUCGCGACUUCCGUGGGGCUACUAGGGCGUAGCCCAGGGUUUGGUUAGCGGUCGUUUAGACGACUGCAUCGUUGUUAUUGCUUCCGCUGAUCUUUGGGUAGGGUUGUGAUGUUUACCUCUUUUCCUUGAUUGCUGAUGAAAUCAGCGGUUUGGAUCUUUGGACCUUUAUCUCGUUCUUCCGCCAAUUGACAUGUACUAGUGUUGGAUUGAUACAGUUUUGAUGUUAGGUCUUUGUUGUUGCAUACAUCGUAUGCGAUUAUUCUAACACCUAAUUGGUGUGUUGUGGGUUAGUCUGUAGUUUGUGGUAUGGUUCGUUGUAUUGUCGAAGUUCUCGGAGCUUUGAUUAUAGCUCGGUUAUGGUGCGAAAAUUGGUUAGAGAAACCAUUUUCUGAAGCAGCCUCAGUUGGUACUGUUCGCAGCUUAGUGUCGCUAGUAGCUUUCGGAUGUUGAAAGCUUUACGACUCCCAGUGAGUUGGUUUACGGUCGGUCUGGUUUCGAAUGUCGACUUGUAAAGUUGAUGUUUCGAUAGUAAUGGUUGUGAACUCGUGGUUCAGUGUUGAGGAAUCAAGUGGUUUGAUUCUUCGACGUGUCACACUUCCAACUCGUUGUUGGCAGUGGAUCUUCGGAUAGUUCGCUUCCUCUUUUGAUAAGUACAUUGGCUGCAGACAAUGUGCUGUCGAAAGAUGAAACGAAAUAUCUCCUUCCUGUUUGGGACUCAUGGAUUGGGUCGGUAUUUCUUUCCUCCGUAGAUAGUCUUGUGAGGAUGGUUGGGUAUCGGUCAUCCUUGACCACGUAGUGGGCCUUGGAUUCUCUUGGCAGGUUUGCGCAGUUGAUUUAUCAUCACUGCAGGUGGUUCUGACUCUGGUUCGAGUCUCGGUGUUCAUAGCUUUUAGUUGUGCUCCCAUUUAGCUAAAAGGUUUGUUGGUUAGUAGUUUCGGUCUGUUGUCUUGAGGUUCAGAAAUUUUGGUUGAGUGACUUGAGCCUAGUUGUUGGCUUUGAUUGUCACCGUAGGUGAUAUUGUGUAAGGAUUGUAUUUCGGCCUAUUGUGCGACUUUGGAAUUGUAUGCUUGUCCGGUUAAUUGGUGACAGGUGCGCCAGGGUCUCAAUGAGACAGUUAUCUGGUGUUGCUCGAAACACCGAUCGCUAGGGUCCCUUGUAGGACGGCAGCGACAGGGUCUCGUAGAGACAGGUGUUGAGCAUCACCGAUGGUUGGUAUCGUAUAGUGCGAUUGGCAAUCCUGUGCACCAAGUUUUGGACUUGCAUGGCGAGUUUAUUGGUUUAGUCGAACCAGUUUUAAUUGAGCAAGCGAAUUGUCGAGCUCAAUUAGUAUUGUCAGCCUUCGACCUUUUCGGUCAGGUGAAAGGUGAGGUUGUGGGACCUAAGACUGUCGAAUGUCAAAGGCGGCUUUCCGUGGAUGUGGACUUGACUUCGGCAGUUGCGUGAUCGGUUAGUGGGAGACUGUAGUCUCAGAGGCUGUUUCUACCGACUCGAGUUUUAGGAGAACGUUUCGUUUUCGCUCGUGGUGAGCAAGUUGAUAUUGUUGGCUAGUCGAAAAUAUUUUGCUCCGAUCUAGGUAAUUAGACUCCAGUUUGGUGGUGUUGGCUCGUGAUUCUUUCUCGUGAACUUAGUGACGUGGUCGAGUCGGUUGAGGCUUUUCGGACCAAGGUUACAGGAUGGUGUUGAUCCCGGUGUGUUAUGGUCCGCAGACUUUGGUUUGGUACGUUUCCCUCGUCUUGUUCUUGUGGAACCGCAGUCCUAUUCUCCCCUUUUCAGAGGUUGAUCUGUCCAAUUCUAGAAUUGUGACUGACCAGUAUCCAAAGGUGUUACCGCGUUGGUGGGGCAAUGUCAGAGUUCGUUUACGGUGGGUACGUGGUCAAGUUUCGAGGACGAAACUUCUUUUAAGGGGGGGAUGAUGUAAGGACUGAGAUUUUUGACAGUGCAACUAAACUCUCUGUUGAUGAUGUUUAUGUGUGUAAUUUAAUUACAUAAGCACUCGUCAAGUUUCAGGAGAAAAUGAGCUAAAAUGGAGAAGAUACGCGAUUUUUAGUUUUCACUUAAGUGAAUAGUAACUCCGGUUUUCCGGAGAAGCCACGGAGUAGAGUUGGCUUCUGGUGCGUAUCGGACUCCGUUCAUAUCAGUCCAAUAGCUCGUUUCGACCGGUUCAGCUGUUCUGGAACUAGUGGCGCUGAUGGAUUUUGAGUUUGACGCACGGAUUUCGAGAAAAUCCAAAAAUACAUGUUUUAUAUGUAUUUGUGUGUGUGUUUCCUUCUAUUGGAAGAAGGUUGGAUUUUGUUGUGAAUCCGUGGUCGAUCGAGAUGAAUCGAAAGUGUAGCUUUGUUGUCUCCGAGGUGCUGAUCGCACUGGUGCAAUCCGUUCGCAAAUCUGACGGACGGAUCUGCGGAGAUCGCGCGUUGAUCGAGGAGAGGUCGGUGAUGGCAAAACGGUAAUUUCGCAAAAGUUGCGACAUUUUAUGUACCGUUUCGCGUGAAAUCGCACGUGGAGGGGUUUAUGCACGUUUUAUUCGUGCGGUGAGGGACUAAGAUUAAAUGGUUGAGUCUUGGAGGACUUUUCGGCAAAAUUACACUUACAUUUAUAAGUUGAUGUUAGAUUUUUUUGCUUGGAAACCCUAACCCUAGGUCGUUCCUGCUAGCCCUAGUCCACCAGCCGCCUCAGCCAUCUCCUGCCCUCCCCGUGCGCAUGCUCCGGCCGCCGGCGAGCUCCUCCGGCCGCCGGAAAUCCCUGCAUCACCUCUCUCUCUCUCCCUUUUGGCCAACCCCUUCACCGCAUUGUGGUUUGCGGACCCUGGUAGCCACCUAGCUCGAGCACCUUUGUCCCCUGGCCGUGGCCCAGCCUUCGGCGACUCCCCUCGUCGCCGCCGUCGUCCCUGCGCACGCCGCCGGAGCCGCCCCAGCUCUCUGCGGCCACCUGCAUGCACCCAGGCCGAGCUUGGGUCAUCUUUGCAUCCGCGCGCCGCCACCGCUCCCUAUCGGCCGCGCCGCCCUCUGGCGACCUCCGGCGACCUCGCGCGCGCCUCCCCGCCGUCCCCGCACGCCGCCGGCCGCCACCCGAGCUCUCUGCGGCCGUCCCGAGCGCGUGCGGGCCCUGCUUGGACCAGUACGGCCUUCGAGGGCCGCCGCCGCCCACCGUCGGGAGCACCACCUCCUCCUCGACCUCCGCCGACGUACCGUCGCCGCCCCGACCUCCUCCGACCGCCGCCACGCCGCCGGGAAGCAUUGAACCCGAGAGCAAGAGAUCGAGUUGAUCUCCUCCGCCGCGCAACUGGCCGCCUCCCGCCGCCGGCCAGCAGGUGCCCCGGACUCCACCGACCGGCCGCACCCUCCCCUGGCCGGGCCGCCCGCCGUCCAGCCACCGGCGGCCAACCCUAGCUCUCCCCUGGCCGGUAAGCUUGUUUUCAGCCUUUCUGCGCAGUGUUUCCUGUUCUACUCACUGUUCCGGCGACCUGAGGCUGUUCCGAUGCCUCCGGAGGUGAGCACGGUGAUCGUCAGUCAGUCCUGAUCACAGUGCUCACCUCACUUAGGGUCAACGAGCCCCUGGUUAGCGAGAUAAGCAUGCUUUUCCUACUGUGCGCGCUGUUUCACUAAUUUUGCGUCGCCCGUGCGCGUGCCACAGUGGCCGGCAGUGCUCCGAAAGGUGAGCACGGCCUCCGGCACGCCGAGACCAGUCAGCGGGAGUCUCGUCUUGGCUGUUUGACCUCUGGUUUGCGUUGUCGGACCAUAAAAGCGCCGAAAUCGCAUGAAAUAAUGCGAUUUCAGGUAUUCAGGAGGGCUUUUAUGCAUUUUGGUUCGUCGUAGCUGCUGUUGGCAGCAAGUGUUGGUUGAGGAUAACCUCUGGACUGAUUGUCCAAGGCCCCAGACCCUUGCGAAGAUCGGAAAUGCAUUUCCGGUGCGUUUUUCGGCGAAAUCCGCCGACGGAACGCGGGUUCGGUUCGGAAUUAUUCCGACGGUGCUUCGUGAGCUUUUGCGUAGUCGCUGAGCCUUGUUGGCUGGUCACUUGCGUCAUUUCGAGAGUUCGGAAAUGACGGGUGAGCGACGGUGGGUUCCGGUGUCGAAUUAGACACUUCCGGGAACCCGAAUCGAAACGAUUAUCCGACGAUAAUUGUUUCGACACGAGGAGUUGUGUUCGCUGCCAUGAUGCAUGAUUAUUUAUGUUUAGUGGCAGCAGGUGACUCGUAGCUCGAGUCGGUAUGUUCCGGGACAGUUCGUGGCUCCCGGCGGAGUCCCCGUGCGAUUACGGGACUUCCGGCGUAUUACGGCGAUCGGUUUGGGAAACCGAUCUCCAUGGGUUUGCUUGUAGGUUGUGGAUCUAGUGGUUAUUAGCUGUGGGUUAGACACUAACCCGGUGGACCUUCCUUAGGUCCGGUUGACGUCCUUUUGCAGUCAGGAGACAGGCGCAGCAUUUGUACAGGUGGGUACUUCGAUCCGAAGUCGGUACAGUGGUGCACGCUCGGUGAUAUUUCUUCUAUCCCUGUUCUUCUGUUGCUAUUUUCGUAUUAUAUAUUGAGCUUGCAUCCCCGUUGUUUCUAUUAUACUCUACUCAUAUGUUUCUAUGCUUAGUAUCAUGUGUAGGAGUAGAGUAGUUUAUCCAUAUGUGAUACCGGUGACCUGAUUGGUCGGUUCUCGUACUUUGUUCCGGUGACCUGAUUGGUCGGUUCUUGUACUUCGUUUCGGUGACCUAGUUGAUCGGUGCUUUUAUCUUAUAUCUGUUGACCUGGUUGGUCGGUUGUUGCAUUAUGUAUUGGGUUGGUCUGUUUCUUGACUUCUGUCGUUCGAUGACCUUUGAGGUCGGUGUACCCUGAGGGGUAGGAUUGUCGGCUGGUGCUGACGGUAGUUCUGGACUAUAUCGAAUACACUCCUGUGACCUAUCGGUCGGUUCUUGCGUUCGUACUUUUAGUUGACAUCGAGCAGUAUCUACAUACUAUCUUUAUUUACUCUGCCUGGUUGUUCUAUGUGUAGUAUCCUGUAUAGGGGUAGAGUAGAUGGCAUUCGUAUAU